ACAGCAGCAGCCGCGGUAAUACGAAGGGUGCAAGCGUUACUCGGAAUUACUGGGCGUAAAGCGUGCGUAGGUGGUGGUUUAAGUCUGCUGUGAAAUCCCCGGGCUCAACCUGGGAAUGGCAGUGGAUACUGGCUCGCUAGAGUGUGUCAGAGGAUGGUGGAAUUCCCGGUGUAGCGGUGAAAUGCGUAGAGAUCGGGAGGAACAUCAGUGGCGAAGGCGGCCAUCUGGGACAACACUGACGCUGAGGCACGAAAGCGUGGGGAGCAAACAGGAUUAGAUACCCGCGUAGUCCCUGUCUCUUAUAC
rnacentral:rRNA from 1 species